rfam:Rhizobacter sp. Root1221 contig_41, whole genome shotgun sequence.
GAGAGCUGUAUGCGGGAAAACCGCACGUACAGUUCGGAGGGAGGGGAUGGCUGAUGCCAUUCCCUACCCCUAU